GGUAUCAUAGAGGGUGAGAAUCCCGUGCAUGAUCAGACCAAAAUACCUAAUAUUCGUUUUCUAAGAGUCGAGUUGUUUGGGAAUGCAGCUCAAAAUGGGUGGUAGACUUCACCUAAGGCUAAAUAUCAGCGAGAGACCGAUAGCGAACAAGUACUAUGAAGGAAAGAUGAAAAGAACUUUGAAAAGAGAGUUAAAUAGUACGUGAAAUUGUUGAAAGGGAAACGAUUGAAGUCAGUCAUGCUAGUGAAAAAUCAGUUUGACGGGUUUGAGUUCAGAGUAGAGGCAGGGUCAACCGUUCUUUUUGAACUUGGAUAUGUUAGAUGACUUUUCUUUGGCAGGUUAGCGUCGAUUU
rnacentral:rRNA from 1 species